rfam:Mycosphaerella eumusae strain CBS 114824 scaffold1670, whole genome shotgun sequence.
UACCUAUUUGCUUAAUGGUAGAGCAUAAUACUCCUAAUAUUAAAGUCUGAGUUCAAAUCUCAGAUAGGUAU